rnacentral:tRNA from 1 species
GUCAGGGUAGUAGAAAAAAUAUAUAAGAUUUAGGAUCUUAUGGUAAGAUGAAGUUCUUUCUUGAUG